UACGGAGGGUGCAAGCGUUGUCCGGAAUCAUUGGGCGUAAAGAGCGUGUAGGCGGUUCGGUAAGUCGGCUGUGAAAGUCCAGGGCUCAACCCUGGGAUGCCGGUCGAUACUGCCGGACUAGAGUUCGGAAGAGGCGAGUGGAAUUCCCGGUGUAGCGGUGAAAUGCGCAGAUAUCGGGAGGAACACCUAUGGCGAAGGCAGCUCGCUGGGACGUUACUGACGCUGAGACGCGAAAGCGUGGGGAGCAAACAGG
rnacentral:rRNA from 1 species